GGCGGCGUGCCUAAUACAUGCAAGUCGAGCGAGCGGAACCAACAGAUUUACUUCGGUAAUGACGUUGGGAAAGCGAGCGGCGGAUGGGUGAGUAACACGUGGGGAACCUGCCCCUAAGUCUGGGAUACCAUUUGGAAACAGGUGCUAAUACCGGAUAAUAAAGCAGAUCGCAUGAUCAGCUUUUGAAAGGCGGCGUAAGCUGUCGCUAAGGGAUGGCCCCGCGGUGCAUUAGCUAGUUGGUAAGGUAACGGCUUACCAAGGCGACGAUGCAUAGCCGAGUUGAGAGACUGAUCGGCCACAUUGGGACUGAGACACGGCCCAAACUCCUACGGGAGGCAGCAGUAGGGAAUCUUCCACAAUGGACGCAAGUCUGAUGGAGCAACGCCGCGUGAGUGAAGAAGAUUUUCGGAUCGUAAAGCUCUGUUGUUGGUGAAGAAGGAUAGAGGUAGUAACUGGCCUUUAUUUGACGGUAAUCAACCAGAAAGUCACGGCUAACUACGUG
rnacentral:rRNA from 1 species